rnacentral:misc_RNA from 1 species
CAACCCUCAAGCAAGCCUCUUCUUGCUUGGUGUUGGGGCAUUACCAGCGCCCGCCGUCCGCGGCGGGAAGGGGGUAAGCCCUGAAAUCUAGUGGCGGGCUCGCCAGGACUCCGAGCGCAGUAGUGUAAGCCUCGCUCUGGACCGUCCCGGCGCGGCCCGGCCGUAAAAACCCCCAACGUCUGAAA